rnacentral:rRNA from 1 species
UAACACGUAUCCAACCUGCCGUCUACUCUUGGACAGCCUUCUGAAAGGAAGAUUAAUACAAGAUGGCAUCAUGAGUCCACAUGUUCACAUGAUUAAAGGUAUUCCGGUAGACGAUGGGGAUGCGUUCCAUUAGAUAGUAGGCGGGGUAACGGCCCACCUAGUCUUCGAUGGAUAGGGGUUCUGAGAGGAAGGUCCCCCACAUUGGAACUGAGACACGGUCCAAACUCCUACGGGAGGCAGCAGUGAGGAAUAUUGGUCAAUGGGCGAGAGCCUGAACCAGCCAAGUAGCGUGAAGGAUGACUGCCCUAUGGGUUGUAAACUUCUUUUAUAAAGGAAUAAAGUCGGGUAUGGAUACCCGUUUGCAUGUACUUUAUGAAUAAGGAUCGGCUAACUCCGUGCCAGCAGCCGCGGUAAUACGGAGGAUCCGAGCGUUAUCCGGAUUUAUUGGGUUUAAAGGGAGCGUAGAUGGAUGUUUAAGUCAGUUGUGAAAGUUUGCGGCUCAACCGUAAAAUUGCAGUUGAUACUGGAUAUCUUGAGUGCAGUUGAGGCAGGCGGAAUUCGUGGUGUAGCGGUGAAAUGCUUAGAUAUCACGAAGAACUCCGAUUGCGAAGGCAGUCUGCUAAGCUGCAACUGACAUUGAGGCUCGAAAGUGUGGGUAUCAAACAGGAUUAGAUACCCUNGUAGUCCACACGGUAAACGAUGAAUACUCGCUGUU